rnacentral:rRNA from 1 species
CCUACGGGAGGCAGCAGUCAGGAAUAUUGCACAAUGGGCGAAAGCCUGAUGCAGCGACGCCGCGUGAGGGAUGACGGUCUUCGGAUUGUAAACCCCUUUCGGGAGGGAAGAUGGGAUGGGGUAACCCAUUCGGACGGUACCUCCAGAAGCAGCCACGGCUAACUUCGUGCCAGCAGCCGCGGUAAU